AUACACCAAUUCCUAACAAAAACUUGUUCACUGUAAGCUGUUAUGAACGUAACAAGUGAUCAUGAUUCAAGAAAGCGAUCAUUUAGUGGCAAAGAUGAAUUUUCCACAGCCACAAAAGAUGCCAUAUUCAGAAUUGCAUAUCUGACUCUUAUUGCACUUCUACAACUUCCAUAGGAGAGAAUAGAUGGCAACUAGGGGUAGGGUGUACAAAGAAAACCGAUAAACCGUACCGACCCGAUAAUCCGAGUCAAACCGAGAAAGAAAAUCCGACUAUGUUUUGGUUUGACUUGGUUUGGUGUUGGAAAAAAAAAACCCGACCAUAAU
rnacentral:lncRNA from 1 species